rnacentral:misc_RNA from 1 species
AGAAGCUAAAACUCGCGCGUGCCAUAGGCCAGGCCAGGGCCACUGAUCCGAAUCAAGAGGAGGGACAAAUAGAAGUGCAACUACAAAUCGCCAAUGGCAGAGUGCUUGUCACACUUGACACUAUCGCCGUCGCCAACAAAAAUGGCGUCGCUUACUGGCACCGCCUCUUCUCGUCUUCUGCCUUCCGUUUAUCGAGCUCGAAUCUCUCUCUCUUCAUCUUCUUCUGCUUCUUCCUAUCUUUCUCCCCUCUCUCUCUCCUCCUCUUCCUCUUAUUCUCUGUCUCCUCUCAAAUGUCUCCGAUCUUCUCCCCUCCUUCCUCAUUUCUUCUUAAAUCAGAAACGAUCGUCGAUGAGUACGGUAGCUGCGGCGUCGGAUCCUGCUCAGCUGAAGAGUGCGAGAGAAGAUAUCAAAGUGCUUCUCAAGUCUAAGUUUUGCCAUCCUAUUCUGGUUCGAAUAGGAUGGCAUGAUGCUGGUACAUAUAACAAGAACAUAGAGGAAUGGCCUAAGAGAGGUGGAGCCAAUGGAAGUCUCAGAUUUGAAAUUGAGUUGAAACAUGGAGCCAAUGCUGGCCUGGUGAAUGCAUUGAACCUUCUUCAGCCUAUCAAGGACAAGUACUCUGGUGUGACAUAUGCAGAUUUGUUCCAGUUGGCCAGUGCUACUGCUAUAGAGGAAGCUGGAGGGCCCAAAAUCCCCAUGAAGUAUGGAAGGGUGGAUAUUUCAGCACCCGAACAGUGUCCUGAAGAGGGGAGGCUUCCUAGCGCUGGCCCCCCUAAACCUGCGGAUCAUUUGCGAGAAAUUUUUUACAGAAUGGGUUUAAAUGACCAGGAAAUAGUUGCAUUAUCUGGUGCACACACCCUAGGAAGGUCCAGACCUGAUCGCAGUGGUUGGGGAAAACCAGAGACAAAGUAUACGGUAUUAAGCCACAAUCUGCUGAUCAUUUCGAUAUGAUAAUUUAUUUUUCUGAGCUGCUCACGUCAGACAACUUCUGGAUCCAAUCUUCAACUUAUUAUUGGAGAUUUUACAAAUCGUUAGCAUGCAAUAUCGUAUGCUUUAUCGUACAAUAUGCAAAAUACUCUUUUAGCAGCUAUCAGAGCUAACCACCUCCUCUCUUCCUUCCUUUCUUUCUGACACAUGCAUACUAGCAUGUCUUUGCAUACUUGUUUUGGCUCACUAGAACCCUAGAAUUUUCUUCUUUGUUUUGUUUUAUGAUUGAUUGUUGCUCAUAUUGAUAUAUUAUUGGUGUAAAGAGGGAAACAACACAGCCAAAAUGUUAAAAGCAUAACUUCAGAAGGAUUAGGUUGUUAAAACUUGGCUAUUGGAUUAACUUUCAUGCCUUUAAAAGUUCAAGAAGUAAAUGCUGUAUGAUAAACUAUCUGGUCUCUGCAACUUCUUCUAAUGUGUAACUGCUGGCAAUCAUCUUAAGAAAAAAAGUGAAAUGCAGAUGGACAUGCUAAAGUUCUUUUACCACUUCAAUGUCCUUAAUGCACUUUAUAAUAUAUUCAAGUGUUUUAAUGUAUGUUGUGUAGCGUCUCUGUCUGUUAAAAUUUAUGUGCAUGGGCAAUUAAACUUCUAUAUUCUUGUUUGUUUUUGCAAUUCCUAUCAAGGCCCUUUUGUUUUUUCUGUGGAAUGUAUCAAGUAUAGCCUGACAAAUGAAUGAACUAGUAGUAAGUUUCAACAUUAGCGACCAGAGUUAGAGAUUCCAUUGCAUCUCGUGCAUGACAGAAAAGUGGACCAGGAGCACCAGGAGGACAAUCCUGGACAAUAGAAUGGCUGAAGUUUGAUAACUCCUACUUCAAGGAUAUCAAAGAAAGGAAGGAUGAAGAUUUACUUGUGUUGCCAACUGAUGCUGUUCUUUUCGAAGAUCCUUCAUUCAAGGUAUAUGCUGAGAAAUAUGCUGAAGAUCAGGAAGCAUUCUUUAAGGAUUAUGCUGAAGCCCAUGCCAAGCUCAGCAACCUUGGGGCCAAAUUUGAUCCUCCCCAGGGUAUCGUGUUAGAUGGAGUUACAGGAGAGAAAUUUGUGGCAGCCAGCUACUCAUCUGGAAAGGUUCUUAUCUAUAAGCUGGCUCAUUUCAUUUUUUGCUCAUUGAUUAUCAAAAUCCUUGCUUUUCUUGGUUGCAUGAAGAUGUUUAUUGAUGAAAUUAAAUUUUUGCAAGUUGUUCAUUCUUCCACUUUUCAUGAUUUGCUGCAGGAUUAAGAAAGAAGUAUCUUGUUUUCUAGUGCCUUAUCUUUUAAUAAUACAGAAUGAAGCUAUUUGCAAAUCCUAUUAAUACACAUCUAAAACUUGGAAGUCUAACUGAGGGAGAAAGGAAUAAAAUUCUGUAAGUAUUGCCUAUUUGAAUUGCAGAGAGAACUGUCAGAGGCUAUGAAGCAGAAGAUACGGGCAGAGUAUGAAGCAAUUGGUGGAAGCCCAGAUAAGCCUCUACAGUCUAACUAUUUUCUAAAUAUCAUGAUUGUGAUUGCUGUUUUGGCAUUUUUGACAUCCCUUCUUGGAAAUUAAGUUUUUCUUCUCUUGGAAGAUCAUCAAGAAAUAAUAUUGUUUUUGAAUGUAUAUGUUAUAUAGUGAGCAAAUAAUAACUCCAGUGCUUGUGAAUGAAAGGUUUCAAAACCUUUGUUUUCAAAUUUAGAAAGGAAAACAUGACAUCUUUAUCAUCUAG